rnacentral:rRNA from 1 species
CCUGCCGGACCUGACUGCUAUCGGAUUGAUACUAAGCCAUGCGAGUCUUUGUAGUAAUACAAGGCAGACGGCUCAGUAACACGUAGUCAACCUACCCUAUGGACAAGAAUAAUCUCGGGAAACUGGGCAUAAUUCUUGAUAGAUCAUAAUGCCUGGAAUGGUUUAUGGUUAAAAUGAUUCGUCGCCAUAGGAUGGGACUGCGGCCUAUCAGCUUGUUGGUGAGGUAAUGGCCCACCAAGGCGAUUACAGGUACGGGCUCUGAGAGGAGAAGCCCGGAGAUGGGUACUGAGACACGGACCCAGGCCCUAUGGGGCGCAGCAGGCGAGAAAACUUUGCAAUGUGCGAAAGCACGACAAGGUUAAUCCGAGUGAUUUCUGCUAAAGAAAUCUUUUGCCAGUCAUAAAACCACUGGUGAAUAAGGGGAGGGAAAGUCUGGUGUCAGCCGCCGCGGUAAUACCAGCUCCCCGAGUGGUCGGGACGAUUAUUGGGCCUAAAGCAUCCGUAGCCGGCUUUGUAAGUUUUCGGUUAAAUCCAUGUGCUCAACGCAUGGGCUGCCGAAAAUACCGCAUGGCUAGGGAGUGGGAGAGGUAGACGGUACUCAGUAGGAAGGGGUAAAAUCCUUUGAUCUAUUGAUGACCACCUGUGGCGAAGGCGGUCUACCAGAACACGUUCGACGGUGAGGGAUGAAAGCUGGGGGAGCAAACCGGAUUAGAUACCCGGGUAGUCCCAGCUGUAAACUAUGCAAACUCAGUGAUGCAUUGGCUUGUGGCCAAUGCAGUGUUGCAGGGAAGCCGUUAAGUUUGCCGCCUGGGAAGUACGUACGCAAGUAUGAAACUUAAAGGAAUUGGCGGGGGAGCACCACAAGGGGUGAAGCCUGCGGUUCAAU